rnacentral:rRNA from 2 species
UUGGAAGGAGGAAAUCGUAACAAGGUUUCCGUAGGUGAACCUGCGGAAGGAUCAUUG